AUUACACUGCCAGAGGCAACGGGUAUCGAGGUGUUUCGCACUUGACGAGGGUAAUGCCGGCGUAACUAUUAACAUCAAAACGUCAUCAUGCUAUCCCAAUUGUGGAACAACAACAACAAUUGUUAAAAGUUAAGCAAACAAUAAAGAUGAUGGUGUUUAAUUUAUCAGGAGUACGGUGUUUUUCGAUUGUGUUUCAAUGGAUCCUGCUCUGGAUAUAUGCGGACUUUUUCCUCUCCAGCUGCUUAGCAUCUUAUGGUUAUAUUCAAGAUAGCACAGAUAAUUCAAGGAUUACCGAAAUCACAGAGAAUAUUUAUAUUGGAACUGAAAAACGAGAACAAGAAACGGAGACAAUAAUGGACUAUUGGAAUCUUGGAGCCAAUCUUUUGCCUACGUUUGACAGCAAAACAGCCAAAAACGUUACUACGCAGCUAGGCCAGACGGCCUAUCUACACUGCAUCGUAAAUAACUUGGGAGACAAAACGGUAUCAUGGAUUAGAAGAAUAGAUUUUCAUGUUUUAACAGUUGGACUGGAUACAUAUACUAGUGAAGAUAGAUUUCAAGCCAUCCACAUCGAAAAUACAAACGAUUGGGCUUUACAAAUUAAAUUUUCACAAUUAAAAGAUGCAGGUGUUUACGAAUGCCAAGUCAGUUCCGAUCCUAAAAUUAGCUAUUUUGUUAAUUUGACAGUUUUAGUAGCUAAAGCUGCAAUAAACGAAGCACCAGAUUUAUACGUCAAAACAGGGAGUUCAAUCAACUUAACUUGUAUUAUAACUCAAAGCCCAGAACCUCCUAUCUUCGUCUUCUGGUAUCACGAUGAUCGAAUGAUUAAUUAUGAUUCUACUCGAGGAGAAAUAACAGUUCAGAAAUUAAAUGGUGAUGUUGCUAUUAGCAGGUUGUACAUUAAAAAUGCUUUACCUGCCGAUUCAGGAAAUUAUACUUGCGGCCCUUCAAAUGCUCAGCCAAGUAGCAUCACAGUACACAUCUUAAACGGUAAUUAAGUUUUACAACUUAAUUAUACGUGAUCAAAAUAAAAAUAUAAUGGCAGAGAUUGAUUAAAACAGUGAAAAACCAGCUGCCAUGCAAUACGACAGCAAAGGUUCCCAUUCCGGAAGUAAAUCGUUAAACCCCGAAUUUACGACAUUAUAUAUACUUCUGUCCAUCCUGUGG
rnacentral:misc_RNA from 1 species